rnacentral:lncRNA from 1 species
CAAAAAGCAUGGGUAUUGAGCACGUGUUUAACAUGUACAAUCAGAUAAUUGUCUAUUUUAAUGACAGAUCCAUGCGUAUUGCGAUCACCGGAUUUUUACGAGGAGAGUUACGCUCAGGUCACUAUGCAUACGGAAAAUAUUUCGGCGAAUUGCUUCCUGGAAGCAAGCAAUUAAAAAUAAGUAAACUUCUUCUAAAUGUGGACAAAUUAAAGAAUUUUCCUCAGAAAAAAGUAUAUGUACAUAAGUUGUAUAGUGAAAACUAUCCAUUUAGUUAUAAAAA